AGUGAACGCUGGCGGCAGGCCUAACACAUGCAAGUCGAGCGGCAGCGGGUCCUUCGGGCUGCCGGCGAGCGGCGGACGGGUGAGUAAUGCAUCGGAAUCUGCCCUGUCGUGGGGGAUAACCUAGGGAAACUUAGGCUAAUACCGCAUACGACCCACGGGUGAAAGCGGGGGAUCGCAAGACCUCGCGCGCUAGGAUGAGCCGAUGUCCGAUUAGCUAGUUGGCGGGGUAAAGGCCCACCAAGGCGACGAUCGGUAGCUGGUCUGAGAGGAUGAUCAGCCACACUGGGACUGAGACACGGCCCAGACUCCUACGGGAGGCAGCAGUGGGGAAUAUUGGACAAUGGGCGCAAGCCUGAUCCAGCCAUGCCGCGUGGGUGAAGAAGGCCUUCGGGUUGUAAAGCCCUUUUGUCCGGGAAGAAAUCGUCUGGGCUAAUACCCCGAGCGGAUGACGGUACCGAAAGAAUAAGCAACGGCUAACUUCGUG
rnacentral:rRNA from 1 species